rnacentral:sRNA from 1 species
AGUUUAAUGCACAGUACUGUCAAUGUAAAUAACGUACCAGUGAAAGAUUAAAAUUUUUGUUGAACAACCAUUUAUACCAGAAAUUACAUUAAAAAGUCAAGGGAACCAUUAAUACAGAUAGAUACAUGGGAUAUUAUGUGUCAUCACUCAUCAGUACAGUUAGAAAAUUUCAACUCGUGAAAUGUCCGCUAUUUUGGGUUCUAUUAGGCAGCAUUUACGGGAGCUAAAGAGGUGAUAAAGGGAGAUAAUUGGCCUGGGAAAAGUACCCAUGUUUCCUGUCUGAGCCUAUCCAGAUUUGAUAGCUCGUAAACAGCUGACCAGGACAAGCUUUCUAUUAGCCUGCUGGGAGUGUUGGGGACAAAUUGUGUGGGUUGUUUCUGAUGACAUUACAGUGGACGUAAGUGGACUCACAUUGCGAGAGUCAUUGGUCUCAGUGAGUAAUUAUUGGUCAGGUCUAUAUGACUUCAUGUUACUUAACAUGUUAUACAAGUUUGCUCUCUGAUUUAACUAGCUUAUUUUUGCUUGUUUGGUUUAAGAGAUUUUGUGGGGAAAAAAAUACCAUAUCGGAUGAUUUAUAUUUAGUCUGAACAUUUUGAGAGUUUAAGGAAGUUGUGUUAGACUGGAGGUUUAUAUCUGAUGUAAACUAAUAUUACAAAUGAAAAGUUUUUGAUUUAGAACAUGUGAAAUAUGUCAAAAAGUAUAUAUUAUUACAAUGUUGUAUACUGAAAUUUGUUGAACUAAAUAUUUGGACAGUG